UAGGGAAUCUUCCACAAUGGGCAAAAGCCUGAUGGAGCAACGCCGCGUGUGUGAUGAAGGGUUUCGGCUCGUAAAACACUGUUGUAAGAGAAGAAUGACAUUGAGAGUAACUGUUCAAUGUGUGACGGUAUCUUACCAGAAAGGAACGGCUAAAUACGUGCCAA
rnacentral:rRNA from 1 species